AGAGGUGUAGCUCAGUGGUAGAGUGCACGCUUAGCAUGCAUGAGGUCAUAAGGUCCUGGGUUCAAUCCCCAGUACCUCCA
rnacentral:tRNA from 1 species